GACCAGACUCCUACGGGAGGCAGCAGUGGGGAAUAUUGCACAAUGGGGGGAACCCUGAUGCAGCGACGCCGCGUGAGUGAAGAAGUAUUUCGGUAUGUAAAGCUCUAUCAGCAGGGAAGAAAAUGACGGUACCUGACUAAGAAGCCCCGGCUAACUACGUGCCAGCAGCCGCGGUAAUACGUAGGGGGCAAGCGUUAUCCGGAUUUACUGGGUGUAAAGGGAGCGUAGACGGCAGUGCAAGUCCGGAGUGAAAGCCCGGGGCUCAACCCUGGGACUGCUCUGGAAACUGUAAAGCUGGAGUGCGGGAGGGGCAGGCGGAAUUCCUGGUGUAGCGGUGAAAUGCGUAGAUAUCAGGAGGAACACCGGCGGCGAAGGCGGCCUGCUGGACCGUAACUGACGUUGAGGCUCGAAAGCGUGGGGAGCAAACAGGAUUAGAUACCCGGGUAA
rnacentral:rRNA from 1 species